rnacentral:tRNA from 1 species
UAGUAAGUGGUGUAGUGGAAGCACAGGGAACUUUGAUUUCCCCAGGUUGGGUUCGAGUCCCUUCUUUCUAA